AACGAACGCUGGCGGCAUGCCUAACACAUGCAAGUCGAACGGGAUCCUGGCUUCGGCCAGGUGAGAGUGGCGGACGGGUGAGUAACGCGUGGGAACCUGCCCAUUGGUCUGGGAUAACUGCGGGAAACUGCAGCUAAUACCGGAUGUACCCGAGAGGGGAAAGAUUUAUCGCCGAUGGAGGGGCCCGCGUCAGAUUAGGUAGUUGGUGAGGUAACGGCUCACCAAGCCUACGAUCUGUAGCUGGUCUGAGAGGAUGAUCAGCCACACUGGGACUGAGACACGGCCCAAACUCCUACGGGAGGCAGCAGUGGGGAAUCUUGCGCAAUGGGGCGAAAGCCUGACGCAGCCAUGCCGCGUGAAUGAUGAAGGUCUUAGGAUUGUAAAAUUCUUUCACCGGGGACGAUAAUGACGGUACCCGGAGAAGAAGCCCCGGCUAACUUCGUGCCAGCAGCCGCGGUAAU
rnacentral:rRNA from 1 species